GUGGGACAGCGGCCGAGGGCGGACGGCGCGGCCGCGGGGGCGGGCGCCAACGGCGGCGACGCGCAGCUGCGACCGCUGCACGCGCACACCGCCAACGGCACCAAGACCACGCGCGCCGACGCCUCCACCGACGACCUGCUCUGAGCUCCCACCAGUUGUAGAGUGACGUGGCGGCCGGCGCAGCCCGCGACGGUUUCCUGCUGUCGCCGCGGCGCCCUCGGCCACAGCGUGCAGACGUCGCCCCACCUGGAGCCGCUGCGGCCGCUACUCCGGGACACAGCCAGCUCUGACCCUGCUUUCACCGGCGCGCCGGCGAGUUCGCUCUGGACGCUCGUUUCGCGCCACUUAGCCACACCUCACGCCGCCUGUCCGCCCGCACACCAGCCCAGCGACGCACUGCGAGGUUGCUGCCUCGUUAGGCUCUGUCACAAAUGGCGGUCUCAGUUUCCCCACCAACAGUCUUAAACAAAAGUUCGCCCAUCAGGCCGCUUUUCCGUCUCCAAGACAGACUGAAGUGAAAUUCUAACAGUUCAUUGUAAUCUCACUCAUCUUUCUUCUUACCCCGCAUAAUGCCGCUAACACAGAUCGUGUAACCACUUAUUAAGUAGAUGAAGGCUACAGUUCACUAAACACUUCCGAGUCAUAAUACGCUCUUCCAUCUGAAGAGAUCGCUAUAUCGAAGGAAAUCAUUACAAUUUCCAGCACGCAGCGUACAAACUACUUUAAUAUGUUAACAUCAACAAAACCAAAAAUUUUAAGUUAUCGUAUCCCUUUCCCAGGAAUAAAUGAAGUUAUUCUCACGACAUCAAUGAUGAAUCCGCUAUAGUUGUAAAAAUCACUUAUUUCUAAAAAGGAAACAAGAACCCGGUUUCAGGACCUGUAUCCCGUCUUCAGGUGUAUAUUAAAAUGUGAGCCAACAAAGGGUUCAUAACUAAGGUUAAAAUAGGUUAAAACGUGUUAAAAUAGUGCAUCCCUGGAUUCCACGAUCCACGGAUGCAUUAUUUGACCAUGUUUUAACCCAUUUCAACCUCAGUGAUCCAUCCUUUAUGGACUCACAUUUUAAUAUACAUAUGAUGACGGGACACAGGUCCUGAAACUGGGUUGUUGUUUCCUUUCUAGAAAUAAAUAAUUUUUACAGCUCUGCCAGAUUUUAUCAUAGAUAUUGAGUAUUAGUAGAUGUGGAUGGAUAAAAAUUCAUAAAAGAUGGAAUAAAUUAUAUUGAAAUGUCCAAAAAAUACGUUCAUUUAUUAAUUUGGAAUCGGUGACGUUUCCUUUCAAGAAUUCGAUCACAACUGUAUUUUAAAUAAAAUACUUCGCGAAUCUUCGAUCGCUGAAAUUGAUCCAGACAUUACGACUGAAACUAUUCCACCCUGUUGAAUGAACGAAUAUUAAAGGAAGGUAGCUUGUCGGCCAAAUUAUUAGAACCUAAUUUUGAAAAAUACUGGUAAAUGUUAAAAAAAAAAUGAAAAUGAAAUACUCUGCAACUAAAUAAGGAUCUGUAGAAGUCGACAUUACGAACUUCUUACAUUAUUUUUAAACGAUGUACAUUUCCAUUGUGACGUACGGCGAUGGGGUUUGUGACGACCAUAAUGACCAGUGGGAGUGGUUACAGGUAGAAUCGGAAA